rnacentral:rRNA from 1 species
UACGUAGGGUGCAAGCGUUGUCCGGAAUUAUUGGGCGUAAAGAGCUCGUAGGCGGUCUGUCGCGUCUGCCGUGAAAACCCGGGGCUCAACUCCGGGCUUGCAGUGGAUACGGGCAGACUAGAGUUCGGUAGGGGAGACUGGAAUUCCUGGUGUAGCGGUGAAAUGCGCAGAUAUCAGGAGGAACACCGGUGGCGAAGGCGGGUCUCUGGGCCGAUACUGACGCUGAGGAGCGAAAGCGUGGGGAGCGAACAGG